rnacentral:rRNA from 1 species
AUUGAACGCUGGCGGCAUGCCUUACACAUGCAAGUCGAGCGGCAGCGCGGGGGCAACCCUGGCGGCGAGCGGCGCACGGGUGAGUAAUACAUCGGAACGUGUCCUUUCGUGGGGGAUAACCAGUCGAAAGAUUGGCUAAUACCGCAUGAGAUCUCACGAUGAAAGGCGGGGACCCGAGGUAACUUCGACCUCGCGCUGUUGGAGCGGCCGAUGUCGGAUUAGCAGG